rnacentral:rRNA from 1 species
GCUUUCGGGCCCGCGAUGGAUCAUUCAAGUUUCUGACCUAUCAGCUUUCGACGGUAGGGUAUUGGCCUACCGUGGCAGUGACGGGUAACGGGGAAUUAGGGUUCGAUUCCGGAGAGGGAGCCUGAGAAACGGCUACCACAUCUAAGGAAGGCAGCAGGCGCGCAAAUUACCCAAUGAAAACAGUUUCGAGGUAGUGACGAGAAAUAACAAUACAGGGCAUUUUAUGCUUUGUAAUUGGAAUGAUGGGAAUGUAAAACCCUUCCAGAGUAACAAUUGGAGGGCAAGUCUGGUGCCAGCAGCCGCGGUAAUUCCAGCUCCAAUAGUGUAUAUUAGAGUUGUUGCAGUUAAAAAGCUCGUAGUUGGAUUUCUGUCGUGGUCAGCCUGCGCUGCCCGUAUGGGUGUGCGCGUGGUUUGCCCUCGGCAUAUUUCUGGUAGCCUCUGGCGCUUUAUUGCGUUGGUAGGUGUUCUGGAACUUUUACUUUGAGAAAAAUAGAGUGUUUNUUGUCGCCCUGAAUACUGCAGCAUGGAAUAAUAAGAUAGGACCUCGGUUCUAUUUUGUUGGUUUCUAGGACCAAGGUAAUGAUUAAUAGGGACAGUUGGGGGCAUUCGUAUUUAACUGUCAGAGGUGAAAUUCUUAGAUUUGUUAAAGACGAACUACUGCGAAAGCAUUUGCCAAGGAUGUUUUCAUUAAUCAAGAACGACAGUAGGGGGUUUGAAGACGAUUAGAUACCGUCGUAAUCUCUANUGCCAAGGAUGUUUUCAUUAAUCAAGAACGACAGUAGGGGGUUUGAAGACGAUUAGAUACCGUCGUAAUCUCUACCAUAAACUAUGCCGACUAGAGAUAGGGAAAUGCCUACCUUGGCUUCUCCUGCACCUCAUGAGAAAUCAAAGUCUCUGGGUUCUGGGGGGAGUAUGGUCGCAAGGCUGAAACUUAAAGGAAUUGACGGAGGGGCACCACCAGGCGUGGAGCCUGCGGCUNCUCAACACGGGGAAACUCACCAGGUCCAGACAUGGGAAGGAUUGACAGAUUGAUAGCUCUUUCUUGAUUCUAUGGGUGGUGGUGCAUGGCCGUUCUUAGUUGGUGGAGUGAUCUGUCUGGUUAAUUUCGAUAACGAACGAGACCUUGGCCUGCUAAAUAGGGUCAGUAACUUCGGUUACUGUAUCACUUCUUAGAGGGACUUUGCGUGUCUAACGCAAGGAAGUUCGAGGCAAUAACAGGUCUGUGAUGCCCUUAGAUGUUCUGGGCUGCACGCGCGCUACACUGAUGCAUGCAACGAGUUUUUACCUUGCCCGAUGGGGCUGGGUAAUCUUGUGAGGGUGCAUCGUGAUGGGGAUAGAUUAUUGCAAUUAUUAGUCUUCAACGAGGAAUGCCUAGUAGGCGCAAGUCAGCAGCUUGCGCCGACUACGUCCCUGCCCCUUGUACACACCGCCCGUCGCUGCAACCGAUCGGAGGGNUCCGUAGGUGAACCUGCGGAAGGAUCAUUC